AAAAAACCUAAAACUAUAACCCUCAGCGCCGCUUCGCAGACCGAUCCCUCAAAGACUCUCCGAUCCCUCGCCCGACCUCCGAUUACGACGGAGAAGACAAGGAUUCGGCUCCGCAACAAAGGUAAACUCCUCACUCUUCCUCUGUUUCCUUUUUCAACAGUAAAUAAAAGGAAAAAAAAAAGAUCAAAGAAUCUCUAAUGAAAAAAGUGAGAUAAAGAAAAAACUCCAAAUCACCUUCUUCGAACUGGUUUCUUUUUUUUUUUCAAUUUCUUUGUAUUUCAGUGUGCCUGUGCGUUUUUACAUUCAAUCUUUGUGUCUGUCUUACAAAACGCUGAAGAAUGGCUUUAUAUAGCCAAAACUAAAAUGAAAAUUACAAAACAAAAAAAAUGAAAUUUUGUUUUUUCUUAUUUCCUUUUUCUUUUUGCUGCUUCUGUUGCGUUGCUCGUUUUUGUCCUUUGCAGGUGUCGUACGAAGCAAUAGACGUGUGCGUACGGAGGCUCGCGCGAGUGGCAGUGGCGCGCAUGCGAGGCCAGAGGUUGAUUGCGGCUUGAUGGCUUUGGGCAGGGGCAUGAGGCGCUAAAGGCUCCUGCUAGGUUUUUUUGCUGCAAAAUUUUUUUAGUUUUGUGGGCUGUUUGGGCUUUAGGGGUAGGUUUGGGCUUGUUUGUAAAUGGACUUUUUAUUUUGGGGUUUAUUUUUGUUUUGUUAUUUGGGCCCCGGGCAGAAAUUGGGCCCUACAAAGUUGAUAAAAUUUAUGUACCAAAUUGAAUAUUAAAGCUAAAACUAGAUACCAAAAUGAGACAAAAAAAAAGUACUAAUGUAGUAACCCGUCAAAUAAUCAUCUUUCAAUAUUUACAUGAUCCUGUUUCAAUAGUUCCCUAUGUACUAUCAUUUUUAGAAGUAUUCAUGG
rnacentral:lncRNA from 1 species